rnacentral:rRNA from 2 species
GAGUUUGAUCAUGGCUCAGAUUGAACGCUGGCGGCAGGCCUAACACAUGCAAGUCGAACGGUAACAGGAAACAGCUUGCUGUUUCGCUGACGAGUGGCGGACGGGUGAGUAAUGUCUGGGAAACUGCCUGAUGGAGGGGGAUAACUACUGGAAACGGUAGCUAAUACCGCAUAACGUCGCAAGACCAAAGAGGGGGACCUUAGGGCCUCUUGCCAUCGGAUGUGCCCAGAUGGGAUUAGCUAGUAGGUGGGGUAAAGGCUCACCUAGGCGACGAUCCCUAGCUGGUCUGAGAGGAUGACCAGCCACACUGGAACUGAGACACGGUCCAGACUCCUACGGGAGGCAGCAGUGGGGAAUAUUGCACAAUGGGCGCAAGCCUGAUGCAGCCAUGCCGCGUGUAUGAAGAAGGCCUUCGGGUUGUAAAGUACUUUCAGCGGGGAGGAAGGGAGUAAAGUUAAUACCUUUGCUCAUUGACGUUACCCGCAGAAGAAGCACCGGCUAACUCCGUGCCAGCAGCCGCGGUAAUACGGAGGGUGCAAGCGUUAAUCGGAAUUACUGGGCGUAAAGCGCACGCAGGCGGUUUGUUAAGUCAGAUGUGAAAUCCCCGGGCUCAACCUGGGAACUGCAUCUGAUACUGGCAAGCUUGAGUCUCGUAGAGGGGGGUAGAAUUCCAGGUGUAGCGGUGAAAUGCGUAGAGAUCUGGAGGAAUACCGGUGGCGAAGGCGGCCCCCUGGACGAAGACUGACGCUCAGGUGCGAAAGCGUGGGGAGCAAACAGGAUUAGAUACCCUGGUAGUCCACGCCGUAAACGAUGUCGACUUGGAGGUUGUGCCCUUGAGGCGUGGCUUCCGGAGCUAACGCGUUAAGUCGACCGCCUGGGGAGUACGGCCGCAAGGUUAAAACUCAAAUGAAUUGACGGGGGCCCGCACAAGCGGUGGAGCAUGUGGUUUAAUUCGAUGCAACGCGAAGAACCUUACCUGGUCUUGACAUCCACGGAAGUUUUCAGAGAUGAGAAUGUGCCUUCGGGAACCGUGAGACAGGUGCUGCAUGGCUGUCGUCAGCUCGUGUUGUGAAAUGUUGGGUUAAGUCCCGCAACGAGCGCAACCCUUAUCCUUUGUUGCCAGCGGUCCGGCCGGGAACUCAAAGGAGACUGCCAGUGAUAAACUGGAGGAAGGUGGGGAUGACGUCAAGUCAUCAUGGCCCUUACGACCAGGGCUACACACGUGCUACAAUGGCGCAUACAAAGAGAAGCGACCUCGCGAGAGCAAGCGGACCUCAUAAAGUGCGUCGUAGUCCGGAUUGGAGUCUGCAACUCGACUCCAUGAAGUCGGAAUCGCUAGUAAUCGUGGAUCAGAAUGCCACGGUGAAUACGUUCCCGGGCCUUGUACACACCGCCCGUCACACCAUGGGAGUGGGUUGCAAAAGAAGUAGGUAGCUUAACCUUCGGGAGGGCGCUUACCACUUUGUGAUUCAUGACUGGGGUGAAGUCGUAACAAGGUAACCGUAGGGGAACCUGCGGUUGGAUCACC